CACUGAGUAGCUAAAUCGACCAAAGCGUUAGCCUUUUAAGCUAAAGACUGGUGGCCACAAUCACCCACAGUGA
rnacentral:tRNA from 1 species